GUGGGAUUGGGCUCCUGAUGAAAGAAUGAGUUCAGCCCCUUUCCUGUCUAAUGUAUGCACAUGUUCUCUCGCCUUCUGCCUUCUGCCAUGGCAUGAUGUAGCAAGAAGGCUCUCAUCAGAUGCAUGCCCAUCAGCCUUGUACUUUCCAGCCCUUAGAACUACAUGAUCACAUAACCACAGAGAGCUUUGAAAACACCAGCCCUAUUAAAAUCUAGCAGGCCUUGACUCCUCUUUUUGCCAACAAGACCAGGAACAGAGAGUACCUGCACACUGUCCCUGAGCUUGUCGGUGUUCGUGUUGUUCACUUUGAAGAUCUAAGGAAGGACUCUGGCCAUUUGUCUAUGCUGCCGUAGACCAAAAUGUAGUUUAUCAUCCUGACUGGAAGUUUGGGGUGAAGAAACAAAGGAUCAAAAUCAAAAUUAAGUAACUCUUGUACUACCCAGCAAAUAAGUGUAAGUAAAGCUAGAGUGGAAUGGUGUGAUCUUGGCUUACCAGAACCUCCAUCUCCUGGGUUCAAACGAUUCUCCUGCCUCAGCCUCCUGAGUAGCUGGGAUUAUACGUACAACAAACAAGAAAAACUUUACCAAAAAGGCCAUUCAAAGAGUAUUACUCAACAUGUCAAAGAUAACUGCAUCAUUCUUUGUACUCCCUGGCCUGAAAAUGGUUCAACUUGUCUGAAAAAUGAAGAGGUCAAAUAUGUGCACACAGCCACUUUGCCAAGUGUGGGAAAGAACCAGUGUCUGGAUUAGUUCCAAGCCAUCCAGACAGCUAUUUCAACUGGAACAAGUGACCU
rnacentral:sRNA from 1 species